AUUGAACGCUGGCGGCAUGCCUUACACAUGCAAGUCGAACGGCAGCGGGGACUUCGGUCCGCCGGCGAGUGGCGAACGGGUGAGUAAUGUACCGGAACGUACCUUUCAGUGGGGGAUAACGUAGCGAAAGUUACGCUAAUACCGCAUAUUCUGUGAGCAGGAAAGCAGGGGAUCGCAAGACCUUGCGCUGAUUGAGCGGCCGAUAUCAGAUUAGCUAGUUGGUGGGGUAAAGGCCUACCAAGGCUACGAUCUGUAGCGGGUCUGAGAGGAUGAUCCGCCACACUGGGACUGAGACACGGCCCAGACUCCUACGGGAGGCAGCAGUGGGGAAUUUUGGACAAUGGGGGCAACCCUGAUCCAGCCAUGCCGCGUGAGUGAAGAAGGCCUUCGGGUUGUAAAGCUCUUUCGGCCGGGAAGAAAUCGCACAGGCUAAUACCUUGUGUGGAUGACGGUACCGGAAUAAGAAGCACCGGCUAACUACGUGCCAGCCGCCGCUGUAAGAC
rnacentral:rRNA from 1 species